GGCAUGUCCUGUGGGUGACCAAGGAGAAGGAUUAGCCCUGGGGCCCUGAUGGAGGUGACUUUACUCCUGGUAAUCCUUCUCCUAAACUGGAUGCUGACAUCUCAGAACUUUUUAAUGAUAUAUUUUAUAUUUUAAAUACUUGCUUAUUUUUAUUUAAUGUGUGUGGGUGUUUUGUCUGCACGCAUGUCCCCGGACCCUGUGUCUGGUGACCGUGGAGGCCAGAAAGGGUAUGGGAUAGUUUGAGUCACAGGUAAUUGUGAAAUCGUUUGAUCUUGGGAACCAUACUCAGGUCCUCUGCAAGGACAUCAUAUGCCAUUAACCAUGGAGAUACCUAUCUCUCAGGACUUCUUAUAAAGAAGAUACUCUGAGCACCAUAUUUGAAGCAAUUGUGGCUAUAAUCUUGGCUUAAUGCCUACUUUUAUUAGUCCCCUCCCCUUUUAGUAGAAAAGGUCCAUGUCGCCCCAGCUGAUCUAAAACACCCAAAUUUCUAGCCUCAACCUCCUGAGUACAGGGAAGAAAGGAGAGAGUCACCAAGCCAGGCUUUUACUGGCUGCCUACUAAAGUAAGUUACAAUGCCUUGCUCUCCCACAGUUUUAACAUCUCUAGUAUAUAAAAGGAUUACACAGUGCAACUCCCCAGACUUUUACUCUGUUUUUGUUAGUGGCCCAUACAUAAUAUGGGGCUGGCGAUAAAGGUGCCUGCCUCCACAACUGACAACUGAGUUUGGUCCUUGGAACCCACAGAAUUGAAGGAGAGAAAUCAACUUGCUGUUCUUUGAUUAAAACAAAUGUCUUGGUGUACCCUCCCAUAAAAAAGUAAUUUUUACAAUUAAAAAACAAAAUAAAGUUAAGAAUAACUUCACAAAUGGAAGUUUCUCUGUGCCAAGACACAAUACCACAUACUAAACAGUUAACACAAAAUGUGUAUGAACUGCUUUUUUAAAACCCUUUUGUACAAACUUGCUUAUCUUAGAGAUGAGUUCUCCUGUAGCCCAGCCUGGCCUAUAUGUAGCCAAGGAUGUCUUUGAACUUCUGACCCUCCUUUUGCUACUUCUGGAGUCCUGGGAUGUCAGGCAUGUACCACUAUGCUGAGUUUAUGCAAGUAUUCUACCAACUGAGCUACAUUUCUAACCCCAGCAUUUUUUUUUUAAUAUCACAGAAAGAAGCUAGGGCAUCUCAUAUUGAACUUCUACUCAGAAUUAAAAUUUUUGGGCUCCCUGUUUAGCUGUCAGACCCUGGCCACUGGUAGAUGAAGGGCUUUGAGUGUUAUAAAUCAGGUCUCUUUUAUCCUCCCACUCUAUUCUGAUCCACCAAAUGUGAAUAAGCUAUCUAAAGAGCUCCUGCCAUAAUGAGUUGAGUUACCGAGUCUGACAUACUUUCCUAACCAUUAUGGACCAUAUACCGUGAGCCAUGACCAAAAUUAACCUCUCCUUCCUCAAGUUGCUUUUCUUAAGUAUUGGGUCACAGUAAAGUCUGUGUGUCUGAUACAGGAGGGAAGAUGGCUUUCCUGGAUUCCCUAUUAGAUAUGGGGACUGCUUCUGUCCUGUAGUUCUUACUGCCAGAUUCCCUAUUUUUCCUUUCCCCCACAGCACUGAUCAGCUUUCUCUAUAAUCUAAAGACUCAGUUGCUCAGCAUCUUUUUCAUUGGUAUAAUAAGGGCCUCUCUUGUUAGAAUGUAAGUUCUCCAUAGGCAGGUGUCCUUAUCUAUUAUAUACAUAUCUCUACCCUUCCUCCCUCCCUCCCUCUCCCCUCUGUUCUUUCCUUUGGUUCUUCCUUUUAUCCUCUUUCUCAUUCUUCUUUGUUUUUUGUUUUUGUUUUUAUUUUGAAUUUUUUUAGUUUUUGUUUUUCUGUUUACAUACCCCUUCCUAUGUGACAACUUUGCAACCCUGACAGGGUUUAACUCACCCUGUAGCCCAGUUUACACUCCAGUAACUGCAAUCUUUGGCAGUUCUAGAUUAAGGAAAUAAAAGAUGUAUGUCUGGGUCAUGGGUCACCCUGUUUGCUUUUCUUGACUUUAUUUUCUGAGUAUUCGACUAUUGCUCUAUCUCUAUCUUUAUUUUCAUACCUCUCUCUCUCUUUCUCUGUCUCUGUCUGUCUGUCUCUCUCUUUCUUCUCCCCACCCCGAAACUCUCCACUGUUUCCCUCUGCUAUCUCACACCCUGGAAUUUCCCAGGGAGGCAGAAGAAAAAGAAGAGAAAAGAAUGGGGGAAGAGAGAUCACAGCACACAGCAAAAGGAAAGAAGGAAACUGGGUGAAAGGAGGAGAUGAGAGGAGGAAGAGGGCCCAGCAGCUGGAAGGCCCACACCCUACAGCUCUGUGGCUGACACCCACUCAGUUGGGCAAGAUAUGGUAAGGAACUCCCAACAGUGGGAGUGAAUGUCGGGGCUGGGAGAGGUGGGACUUGAGGCAAGGAGUCCCUAGGAUGGGCACAGAUCCCAGACACACAAGCAUUCUUCUCCUCUGCUCCUGACUUCCAGGAACUGGGAGGGCUUGGAUCCUAAUGCUGCCAAUGGGUCUUCCCUGAGCUAUUCCUCCCACACACAGCAAAUUCCAGGAAAUACCUAGACCUUUAAGAUUCCUUUUCUAUUGGGAAACCACCCAAUGGAAGUAGUUUGCUUCAUGUCUCUAGAAGGUAGCAAUCCCACACAGACACCCCAGUGCUUAUACUCUCCGGGGGGUUCUAUCACCUCCAUCCUUCUCACUGGAGGAAUAAAGAAAAAACAAGAGGUAAUAAAGAAGUCAGUAAACGUUUUCAUAGUUUUCUGUCCCUGCUUAAACAAGCAAAGAACUGAGGCCCAAGAAAUGUAAUACCCUAGCCAGAAAGAUGCAGCAAGGAUGUGGGCUAGUUGAGCCAGGUGACCAAAUAUGUGUUCUGAAUUAGGUCUCUUUUUAUGUUAGGAGGCUGGGACCUGUGGUGAGAGAAGAGGGGAUAGGACCUGGAUUCAUGAUCUGAGGAAGAAGGCUGGGACCUGGAUAUUUGAAUCUGAAAGAGGGAGGGCUGGGUCUGGAUCUAAAUAUGAGGGAGGAGGCUGGAGCCUGGAUACUUGAGUCUGAGAGGGCAUAGAUGGAAUCUAGAUUCUUGGGUCUGAGGGUAGAGCAUGGGUUCUAGACUCCUGGAUCUGAGGGGGAAGGGUAGGGAUAUGGACCCCUGGGUCUGAGACAAGAGGACUGUGUUCUGAAGCUUUGAAUCCAAGGGAAUAGGACUAGAGCUUGAAACUCCAUGUUUGUGGGAGAAAAACUAGGGUUUAUACUUCAGGCCUAAAGGAGGAAGGUCUUUAUACUAGAAAGUAUGGAAACCCUGGCACAUUUUUAAAAAAAUUAUUUUUACUGUUUGUUUUAAAAUUUUUGUAUGUUAAGGAUUUGUAUGCACAUGCCACAACACACAGUUGGAAGUCAGAAGACAAUUUGCAAUAGUUAUUUCUCUCUUUUCACCAUGUUGGCCCAGUGAUCCCACUGUAGGAGGCACCAUUCCCUAGGCAUAUGAUUGUGGUCUACAUAUGAAAGCUAGCUGAGUGUGAACCUGCCAGCAAGUAGAAUCCUCCAUAGUUUUUGCCAUACUUCUUUAGUUGUUAAGUGAGUUUUUCAGUUGUAGGUAAUGCUGUGUGGAAUUGCUAGGACUCUUGCCUUCAAGUUCUUGCCAUGAAUUCCCACAGGGUUUGCCUAUGACCUGGAUUUUUAAGUCAAAUACACUUUCUCCCUCAAAGUAGCUUUUGGUCAUCAUGUUUAUCACAUCAGCAGAAAUGAAAUUAGACCUGUUGCCAGUGUGUUCCUUAGGUUUCAUACUAUGGGUUUUAGACACAAACCCUGAUUAUAUCAUAAUUGCUUGCAUGCUGCUUGAAAGGCUCAUUCCCCCAAACACCUCUUUCUUUACCUAUAAAAUGAGAUUAUUUCAAGUCAUAUUUCACAGCAUAACCCUUAAGGAAGAACCUUCCCAGAACAGAGGACAUGAAGUGGCGACAUCCAUUUGUGGAAAUUGCUUUUACCUUGCUCUGACCACAAUGUCAGACAGAAAUAACUCAAGGGAAGACUUACUUUUGCUCAAGGUCUUCAAAGGCUUCAGUCCAUCACAGAGGGGAAAACAUGUCAGAGCAGUUCAGUUCAUAACAGCUCAGGGGUAAAGUGUUUGGAAAAGAGGGAAGGACAUCUAAAAUGGAGCAGGGCCUGUAUAACAUCUCCAACUGUUUGCUCUAGUAACCUAUCCACACCCACUAGGCCUAUGUUAGCUAUUUUAGGUUGAUGGAAUAUUCUGGGAAAACACAAUUUAAUGGAGGAAGAAAUUUUAUCUUGAUCAUAGUUCCAAAGUACAGUCUGUCAUAGAUGGGAUGUUAUGGUAGCAGGAGCUUGAGGUGUCAGUCGUAUUGCACUUAUAGUUAGGAGGCAAAGGGAGAUGAAUUCUGAUGUUCAGUUCAAUUUCUCAUCUGGGACCACAGCCCACAGAAUGGUGCCGUGCAAGAUGACCUAACUUCCUACCUCAACUGACCUAACCAAGAUAACUGCUAAUCUAAAUAAUCUCUUACAGGAGUGCUUGGAAGUUUAUCUCCUAAGUAAAACAUAUCCCGUGAAGUUGGCAAUCAAUACCAUCACAAUUCCUAAUCUCCUAAAAGAUGAAAACAGGUUGGCAACUUUCCAAAACAGCAGCACCAGCUAGGAGACAAGGGAAGACAUUUUAGAUUUAAACUAUAGCAUGACUGCUGAACCAGCAGUCACUGGGUAGCUGAUGGAUAUGAUGGGUUGGGAGCAGAGACAAGACUGUCUUCUUUGAGGAUGUCAGCUCUGAAAGGUCAGCCUGGUAGAAACUGGAAGAAGCUUGUGUUCCAAGUCACUGUCGAUUCCAAGACUGGUUGUCUUGGGUCAGUCUUGACUCUCAUUUUUAUCUACUUUAGACCAUGAGCUCCAGUCACUAUGUUGAUGUAUGUGGGCAGCCUAAGUUCCUGGACUGAUCAUUCUCAUUCCUAGAGUGUGGGGUAAGGAGAUUGCACUUCCCAGGACUACCAGAGGAGAUUGCUCAGUGGGAAGCUAGGAAUGUUUUGGGGGGACUAGCCAAAAAGUCUGCAACGUAGAAAAUGGACUCAUUAAGGGCUGCAUGGAAUGGGACAAAUGGAAGAUACUAGGUCAGAGGCCUUUGUGUCAAAUGCUUUAGUUACCUAUAGGGAAGUGGUCAAAGCCACUGUGAUGACAUCCCAGUGUGAGAGAGAAAAGGAAAUCGUGUUGCCAUGGUUUUUUUGGCUAGUGCUGAGGCCUUAACAUGUCACACAAAAGUAUCACUUUCCAUAUCAACAGUGUCUGAACAGCAGCAAGGGUAGGCAAAGGCUUUUUAUUCCAGCUUUCCUUGUCUGUCAGGGUCUACAAGAAAGGAACAGAGUUGCCCACAACCUCACUUGGUUAUUUCAUCAACUCCAUGCCACCACCCCCAAAAUUUAAACUGUCAUCAUAGAAGAGAUUGAGGGACAAGCCUCACAGGAAGAUCAUAUAAAUAUUCUUCCUCAGCACUGUCUACUGUUGGACUAUUCAUGUCCCAUAAAAGUCAUUUUCUCUUUCUCUAAAUGGCUCACAACCCCCACUUCCAUUUGCCAUAGGGAAGGGCCUAUACAAUUCAAAAUCUUGUUAAAUAUUCACUUUUUAUUUUCAUUAUGUGUCCUUGUGUAUUCUGGGAACAAAUGUGCUUGACUCUCCUUUUCCCCUUGCUAAUUGUUGAUUUUUUUCUGAUACUCAAAUGUCAACUUAACCUUCUGUCCCUAAUCUAUAUCUAUUUCAGCGGAUUUUCAAUCAACUACAGACUGCAAGUUGCUCCAAGCUUGUAAGUCCUAGGUGCUUCUGAUGGGAUUUCUAACAAGCCUGAAUAUCUACAUCCUAGAUGGCUCCAAAGUGGCUAGCCCCAAGUGCUUCAACCUUACAGACUGCUUCAACAUAGCCAGGAUUUCUCAAGGUUCAGGUGGUCCUGCAGAGCCUGGACAGCAAGUGAAGUAGUCUUCAUUCCUCUCUCUUUCUUCCUGGCUGUGACCACCAUUCCAGCUUUCUUGAGUCCCUAACAAAGGGGCUGUGAUCUUGGAACUUUAGAACAUUUUAUGUGCUAUAAAAUUUGGAGAUCACAUGACUAGGGAAAAUGUGUCCUGACAUAAGAUAGCACAAUCCAAUCUAUCAAUUUAUACAUGACACUGGCCCUGGUGAGAUUUCUCGUUUAGUGUCCUCCAGAAAACCCUGUGAGGUAAACAUUUAAUGCCCGUUUUGCAUAAAAAGAAACCAAGACUCUAUUAUAUUCAGUGAGAUUCAGAAGUCCAGUUCUUGGAGCUAGGAAAAGGUUGCUCAGGAAAGGGAGAGAAAAGAAAUAGGGUAAUGGAAUAAAUGACAUGAGAACAGAAAUGGGGACUAUUUGGGUGAUGAGGAUAAAACUAGAAUACCUCCUCCAAUACUGAAUUUGCAUAAGUGACAUUCUUUUUUUAUUAUUAGAUAUUUUCUUUAUUUUAUACUUCAAAUGUUAUCCCAUUUCCUGGUUUCCCCUCUGAAAACCCCAUAUCUCAACCCCACUUCCCCUGCUCACCAAACCACCCACUCCCACUUCCCUGUCCUGGCAUUCCCCUACAUUGGGGCAUCGAGCCUUCACAGGACCUAUGGCCUCUUCUCCACUACAUAUGCGGCUGGAGCCGUGUGUCACUCGCUCCAUGUGUACUCUUUGAUUGGUAGUUUAGUCCCUGGAAGCUCUGGGGGUACUGGUUAGUUCAUAUUGUUCCUCCUAUGGGGCUGCAAAUUCCUUCAGCUCCUUCAGUCCCUUAGCCUUAGUUUCCCUCCCGUGUCUCUUGGAACAACGAUUACAUCAGAGAUUGCACAAUGAGAUCCAUAUUUAAUAAGCCAGCCGAUGGGCUCCCCAAGCUAGCUGUAAGUUUCGGUGCCCAGAAUUUGAGGACAGUGGUCCAAUUUGUAGACAGAAUAAAGUUAAGGACUCUUAGAUGAGCUCAUCCUGUCUGUAGGGUUGGUCAUAAUUGCCAGUAAAGCUGAGAAAGUGACUAGAAGACAGGCUGAGCUGUGACGAAUUUGUGCGCCAAGCAUAUUCAUUUGUUACAGCUUCCAUGGUAACGAAGACUGAUGAGACAACAGAAUAUUGCUACUGCACAGUUCUGUAAGCUAUAAAUUCAAGAUCAAGGAUUCAGCAGGACUGUGAGAGAAGAUCUGUUCCAAGUCCAUAACCCCGUAACUCAGCUGCUACUGAUUUGUUGACAGUGUUUCACAAUGUUUCCUGUCUCUCUGCCUUUUUCAGUAUGUGCUGUUUUUCCUCUCUCUCUCUCUCUCUCUCUCUCUCUCUCUCUCUCUUUCUUUCUCUCUCUGUCUCUCUGUCUCUGUCUCUCUCUGUCUCUCUCUGUCUCUCUCUGUCUCUCUCUCUCUCUUUCUCUCUCUGUCUCUCUGUCUCUCUCUCUCUGUCUCUGUCUCUCUCUGUCUCUGUCUUUCUCUGUCUCUUUCUCUGUCUGUCUCUGUCUCUCUCUCUCUCUCUCUCUCUCUCUCUCUCUCUGUGUGUGUCUGUGUGUCUGUGUGUCUGUGUGUCCAGAUUUCCCUUUACACAAAGAUUCCAGUCACACUGGAUUAUAGCUCUACCCUGGUCUGAUAUGAAUAACUUAAAUAAUUAUAUUUUCAACAACCCAGUAUGUAAACAGGUGACAUUCUCACGCAUUUUGGAGAUAUGUUGGUGAUGCCAAGAAGUUUCAUGCAGCUGGGAGAGGGGUGUGGCUGGAGUAACGGAGGGAUGAGGAGGAAGGGAGAAAGGGAAUUUCUUAGAAAAGUUAUGAAGUUUCUCUUUUCCCUUUUCUUCUCUUUUCCCUUUUCUUCUCUUCCCCUUCCCUCCAUCCCAAUCUUCUCUUCUUCUCCUUUUCUUUCUUCCUUCAUUUGAGACAGUGUCUUAUGCAGAUCAGGCUGGCCUAGCACUUUCUAAGAAGCUGAAGAUGAUCUUGAACUAAUUUUCUUACCUCUGUGCCUGAGUGCUGGGACUUCAGGCAUACCUCACUAUGUCUGGUUUAUUUGGUGCUGGGGAUAGAACUCAGAGGUUUUUAGAUGCUAAGUAAGCACUCCACCAACUUAAUAUUAUCUGUAGAUUCAACAGUAAGUUUUCUAAUCCAUUUCCAACAAUUAUGUUACAAUAUCAAACAACAAAUAAAACAUAGCACAGGGCAGGAGAAAUGGCUCAGCCAUUAAGAGCACUGGUUACUCUGCCAAAAAUUCUGGGUUUGAUUUUCAGUAGCAUGGCCACUCACAAUCAGCUGUAAGUCUAGAUCCAGGGAAUUGUAUGCCAUUUUCUGACCUCUGUGGGUACCAGGCAUGCACUUAGUGCACAGAUGUAUGUGCAGAAAAUACUCAUAUACAUACAAUAAAAUAGAUCUUUAAAAAUAAGGAGAAAGAAAAGUGACUCCACAUUCCCCUAUAGCCGUCUACUGCCAAUAGCUUCUCUGCCUUGGUGUGGCCUCAGGAGCCUAUUCCUAAUCUACACUGGAAUUUUUAGUUGGCUUGAUUUUCUGCAGAUCUUCUAUAUGUAAGCAUGGCUGUUUCCUGUGAGUUCUUACGGGCAGCAACCAUAGCACAUCCAGAAGGUCAUAUUUCAUAGCAUUUCUCCUUUUCCAGCUCUAACAUUCUUUUUGCCCCUGCUCUUCCACAAUGUUCACUGAGCCUGAAGGGUUUGGUAUAGAUGUCUUGCGUCUGCUUUAUUUCACUUAUCUCAUUGAACAGUAUAUUAAUAAUAGGUACAACAUUGUUAUGCAUACUGUACUUCAAAAGUUUUACUAAUGUUGGAAGGAAAAAUUGGAGGCAGAGAGGAGAACCAUAAAAUUCUUGAAAUCAGAGCAACGAUGUCAUUCCAGCCUGGUCUAACUAUCACAAAUACCUGAUUUGGGAGGGAACCCUGUUUAUGUGGAAGAAAAAGAAAUUGGGGAACUUUUCAUUUCUGAUUUCCGGAAACCAACGCCUCUGCCUAUUAUGUGGUAUGGAAGGUAAGCAGGCCACCCACUUCCAAUGGAAAUAAUAGGGCAAUAGAUGAAUUUGUCAGAGAUUACAUCUCUACCCUAGAUGCUGUUCUGAUCCCUCAAUUCCCUGACACAGAAAUGCUUUGUGUUCAGAGACUCCUGUCCUUAGAGUUGGUGGCUUCCCAGCCUCCCUUCUGUGCCUCUAGAUUUUCAGAUGAAGGAGGGGGUAGGAAAAGAUUGGAAAUUAUAUUAAUAACUAUUUAUUUAUUUGCUUAUUUAUGUUUUGAGAGUUCAUAGUGUUAAACAAUGUGUCCACACGGUGACACAGAGGACAACUUAAAGAAAUUAGUUCUUUUCUUUCAGGAAUUCUUGGAAUAGAACUCAGGUCACUGGACUUGGUAACAAGAGUGUUUACCUGGUAAAGCAUCUUGGGUCCCAGAAAUGAAUUUUCUCUGGUUUUCCUGUUUCACCCUGCUCAGCUGCUAAACACUUUAAAAGUCAUCUUUCAUUUCUUACAUGCCAGGAAAUACUCUCUUCCUCUCUUUGGUUAUUUCUCUUUUUUCUCCCUCCCCCAUCCUCUCUUCAUCUUUGUCCUGUCUGUCCCUCCUUUCUCUUUAUUUUCAGUAAAAAAAAAUGUAGUAUAAUAUAUGCAGAAAAUAUUGUACAGACCAUUUCUUGAUAAAUCUUCCCAUGGUUAAUGUGUCUGUGUUAAUAGGUCUAUGUAACCAACACUGAAUAAGGAAAGAAAGCAUUCUUGAGCCCUCUCUCAAUCUGCACUGUAAGUGUAAGCAUUGUCAUAUAUAUACUUGACAUAUUAGGUGCCUGAGGAUUCUUAGGCUACAGGCUAUGAAAUUCUAGCCAGCCUGGGUUUAGCAACAGUUGAGUUCAAGGCUAUCCUGAGCAAUUUAGUGAGAUCCUACCUGAAAAAAAUAUUAAAAAGCAAUGGAGCCUGGUGUGGUGGUACACACCUUUAAACCAAGCACUUAGCUGGUAAAGGCAAGAGGAUCUCUGAGUUCAAGGAUAGCUUGGUCUACAUAGUGAUUGCCAAGACAGCUGGCACUACAUACAGAGACCCUGUCACUAAAGACCAGUUAAUCAGUUAUUUGCAAAGUGGAGAUAUAAGAAGUGAUGCAAAAUUGUAACUCACCAGCAGAAAAAAAAUGCCUAGAUUUACUGAGUAAAGGGCUGGGCAUGACUCAAAGGUAGAGCUCCUACCUAGAAUCUUCCAGUGAGGAGCUAAGGUAGCUUGGGGGUAGAACUUCUGCCUAGAAUCCACAGUGAGGGUCUGGGGAUCUGGUUCAUUCUAAGAAGUAGGGCAUUUGUUCAUCAUGUAUAUGGGCUUGGUUUCUGUUCUCUAUAUUGUCACCACCGCAAAACAAUAAGGAGAAAA